rnacentral:rRNA from 1 species
AUGCGUACGGAGCGUUGCAACUUCAAGCUCGACGGCCUCGACAUCCACUUCCGGCCGUGGCGCGCCGUCUCUCACGCCUACAACGCCGACCUCCACUUCCGCGUCCACGUGGUCGUAGACGGCCUCCCUCCUUUCGCUUGGAGGCCGGAAGUGGUGGACCAACUCGUGGGCCGCAAGUGCGCGGUCCAACGCCUCGACGACGGCUUCACCACCAUGGAGGAUACCUCCUCCUUCGGCCUUUGGGCAUGGAUGCCUUCUCCUCAUCGCAUCCCCAAGGUGCUGUGGUGCACGCUGGUGAACAAGGGUGCGGGUGGCCUCUCCUCCAAGGUCCGCGUCGAGGAGGAUCGCCCUGAUCAAUGGAAGAGAGGCGUCUCGUUCCGCGUCCUACUCCAUGUCGACCGCGUGGAGGAUUUCACUGGAGCUCCGGUCUUGGACGGCGGUGAGCCGCUCACCAACUUCAGGCCCGUUUCGCACUCCCUGCCGCAAUGCAACCUGGGCACCAUUGACGGCCGGCCCGUUGGUGAGGGCUCGGGUUCCAUCCUUCCGGCCCCCAUCCCAGCUUUGGGCUAA